rnacentral:rRNA from 1 species
UGCCAGCAGCCGCGGUAAUACGGAUGGUGCGAGCGUUAAUCGGAAUUACUGGGCGUAAAGCGCGCGUAGGCGGUUUUGUAAGUCAGAUGUGAAAGCCCAGGGCUCAACCUUGGAACUGCAUUUGAUACUGCAUGACUAGAGUGCGAUAGAGGGGGGUAGAAUUUCAGGUGUAGCGGUGAAAUGCGUAGAGAUCUGAAGGAAUACCAGUGGCGAAGGCGGCCCCCUGGAUUGACACUGACGCUGAGGUGCGAAAGCGUGGGGAGCAAACAGGAUUAGAUA